ACGCCCUGUCCACAUCUCAUGUGGUAUUUUACUUAUAGACUUAUUCAGAAUUUUAUUUAAAAUAUAACAAGCCAACUCGAGUGCGUAUCUUCAAAAAAAAUUAACAGACUUGCAAAGCCCUCAUGGACUGAACCAUGUCUAACAGAAUUCGAUUCCUCCUUUCCGAUACACCAUUAUGCUGUGGUGUUUCAAGAGGGAUCCAUAUUGUGAGAGAAUCUCAUUCUCUUCUAAGUAUGUCAUAAACUCACUAGAGAGGUAUUCUCCUCCUCAGUCG
rnacentral:lncRNA from 1 species